rnacentral:rRNA from 1 species
AUUGAACGCUGGCGGCAGGCCUAACACAUGCAAGUCGAGCGAGAGGCGGACGGGUGAGUAAUGUCUGUGAAACUCCCUGAUGGAGGGGGAUAACUACUGGAAACGGUAGCUAAUAUCGCAUACCAUCAGAUGUGCCCACAUGGGGUUGGAUAGUAGGUGGGGUAACGGCUCACCUAGGCGACGAUCCCUACAUGGUCUGAGAGGAUGACCAGCCACACUGGAACUGAGACACGGUCCAGACUCCUAAGGGAGGCAGCAGUGGGGAAUAUUGCACAAUGGGCGCAAGCCUGAUGCAGCCAUGCCGCGUGUGUGAAGAAGGCCUUCGGGUUGUAAAGCACUUUCAGCGGGGAGGCGUUACCCGCAGAAGAAGCACCGGCUAACUCCGUGCCAGCCGCCGCGGUAAUAC